CCUACGGGAGGCAGCAGUGGGGAAUAUUGGACAAUGGGCGAAAGCCUGAUCCAGCCAUGCCGCGUGUGUGAAGAAGGCCUUCGGGUUGUAAAGCACUUUCAGUGGGGAAGAAAGCCUUGGGGCUAAUACCCUCGAGGAAGGACAUCACCCACAGAAGAAGCACCGGCUAACUCCGUGCCAGCAGCCGCGGUAAUACGGAGGGUGCGAGCGUUAAUCGGAAUUACUGGGCGUAAAGCGCGCGUAGGCGGUCUGAUAAGCCGGUUGUGAAAGCCCCGGGCUCAACCUGGGAACGGCAUCCGGAACUGUCAGGGUAGAGUGCAGGAGAGGAAGGUAGAAUUCCCGGUGUAGCGGUGAAUGCGUAGAGAUCGGGAGGAAUACCAGUGGCGAAGGCGGCCUUCUGGACUGACACUGACGCUGAGGUGCGAAAGCGUGGGUAGCAAACAGGAUUAGAUACCCGAGUAGUC
rnacentral:rRNA from 1 species